GGGCUAGCGUUGCUCGGAAUCACUGGGCGUAAAGCGCACGUAGGCGGAUUGUUAAGUCAGGGGUGAAAUCCUGGAGCUCAACUCCAGAACUGCCUUUGAUACUGGCGAUCUCGAGUCCGGGAGAGGUGAGUGGAACUGCGAGUGUAGAGGUGAAAUUCGUAGAUAUUCGCAAGAACACCAGUGGCGAAGGCGGCGCACUGGCCCGGUACUGACGCUGAGGUGCGAAAGCGUGGGGAGCAAACAGG
rnacentral:rRNA from 1 species